GGGUUGUGAGGUUAAGCGACUAAGCGUACACGGUGGAUGCCCUGGCAGUCAGAGGCGAUGAAGGACGUGCUAAUCUGCGAUAAGCGUCGGUAAGGUGAUAUGAACCGUUAUAACCGGCGAUUUCCGAAUGGGGAAACCCAGUGUGAUUCGUCACACUAUCAUUAACUGAAUCCAUAGGUUAAUGAGGCGAACCGGGGGAACUGAAACAUCUAAGUACCCCGAGGAAAAGAAAUCAACCGAGAUUCCCCCAGUAGCGGCGAGCGAACGGGGAGGAGCCCAGAGCCUGAAUCAGUGUGUGUGUUAGUGGAAGCGUCUGGAAAGGCGCGCGAUACAGGGUGACAGCCCCGUACACAAAAAUGCACAUACUGUGAGCUCGAUGAGUAGGGCGGGACACGUGGUAUCCUGUCUGAAUAUGGGGGGACCAUCCUCCAAGGCUAAAUACUCCUGACUGACCGAUAGUGAACCAGUACCGUGAGGGAAAGGCGAAAAGAACCCCGGCGAGGGGAGUGAAAAAGAACCUGAAACCGUGUACGUACAAGCAGUGGGAGCCUCUUUAUGGGGUGACUGCGUACCUUUUGUAUAAUGGGUCAGCGACUUAUAUUCUGUAGCAAGGUUAACCGAAUAGGGGAGCCGAAGGGAAACCGAGUCUUAACUGGGCGUUAAGUUGCAGGGUAUAGACCCGAAACCCGGUGAUCUAGCCAUGGGCAGGUUGAAGGUUGGGUAACACUAACUGGAGGACCGAACCGACUAAUGUUGAAAAAUUAGCGGAUGACUUGUGGCUGGGGGUGAAAGGCCAAUCAAACCGGGAGAUAGCUGGUUCUCCCCGAAAGCUAUUUAGGUAGCGCCUCGUGAAUUCAUCUCCGGGGGUAGAGCACUGUUUCGGCAAGGGGGUCAUCCCGACUUACCAACCCGAUGCAAACUGCGAAUACCGGAGAAUGUUAUCACGGGAGACACACGGCGGGUGCUAACGUCCGUCGUGAAGAGGGAAACAACCCAGACCGCCAGCUAAGGUCCCAAAGUCAUGGUUAAGUGGGAAACGAUGUGGGAAGGCCCAGACAGCCAGGAUGUUGGCUUAGAAGCAGCCAUCAUUUAAAGAAAGCGUAAUAGCUCACUGGUCGAGUCGGCCUGCGCGGAAGAUGUAACGGGGCUAAACCAUGCACCGAAGCUGCGGCAGCGACACUAUGUGUUGUUGGGUAGGGGAGCGUUCUGUAAGCCUGUGAAGGUGUACUGUGAGGUAUGCUGGAGGUAUCAGAAGUGCGAAUGCUGACAUAAGUAACGAUAAAGCGGGUGAAAAGCCCGCUCGCCGGAAGACCAAGGGUUCCUGUCCAACGUUAAUCGGGGCAGGGUGAGUCGACCCCUAAGGCGAGGCCGAAAGGCGUAGUCGAUGGGAAACAGGUUAAUAUUCCUGUACUUGGUGUUACUGCGAAGGGGGGACGGAGAAGGCUAUGUUGGCCGGGCGACGGUUGUCCCGGUUUAAGCGUGUAGGCUGAUUUUCCAGGCAAAUCCGGAAAAUCAAGGCUGAGGCGUGAUGACGAGGCACUACGGUGCUGAAGCAACAAAUGCCCUGCUUCCAGGAAAAGCCUCUAAGCAUCAGGUAACAUCAAAUCGUACCCCAAACCGACACAGGUGGUCAGGUAGAGAAUACCAAGGCGCUUGAGAGAACUCGGGUGAAGGAACUAGGCAAAAUGGUGCCGUAACUUCGGGAGAAGGCACGCUGAUAUGUAGGUGAAGCGACUUGCUCGUGGAGCUGAAAUCAGUCGAAGAUACCAGCUGGCUGCAACUGUUUAUUAAAAACACAGCACUGUGCAAACACGAAAGUGGACGUAUACGGUGUGACGCCUGCCCGGUGCCGGAAGGUUAAUUGAUGGGGUUAGCGGUAACGCGAAGCUCUUGAUCGAAGCCCCGGUAAACGGCGGCCGUAACUAUAACGGUCCUAAGGUAGCGAAAUUCCUUGUCGGGUAAGUUCCGACCUGCACGAAUGGCGUAAUGAUGGCCAGGCUGUCUCCACCCGAGACUCAGUGAAAUUGAACUCGCUGUGAAGAUGCAGUGUACCCGCGGCAAGACGGAAAGACCCCGUGAACCUUUACUAUAGCUUGACACUGAACAUUGAGCCUUGAUGUGUAGGAUAGGUGGGAGGCUUUGAAGUGUGGACGCCAGUCUGCAUGGAGCCGACCUUGAAAUACCACCCUUUAAUGUUUGAUGUUCUAACGUUGGCCCGUUAUCCGGGUUGCGGACAGUGUCUGGUGGGUAGUUUGACUGGGGCGGUCUCCUCCUAAAGAGUAACGGAGGAGCACGAAGGUUGGCUAAUCCUGGUCGGACAUCAGGAGGUUAGUGCAAUGGCAUAAGCCAGCUUGACUGCGAGCGUGACGGCGCGAGCAGGUGCGAAAGCAGGUCAUAGUGAUCCGGUGGUUCUGAAUGGAAGGGCCAUCGCUCAACGGAUAAAAGGUACUCCGGGGAUAACAGGCUGAUACCGCCCAAGAGUUCAUAUCGACGGCGGUGUUUGGCACCUCGAUGUCGGCUCAUCACAUCCUGGGGCUGAAGUAGGUCCCAAGGGUAUGGCUGUUCGCCAUUUAAAGUGGUACGCGAGCUGGGUUUAGAACGUCGUGAGACAGUUCGGUCCCUAUCUGCCGUGGGCGCUGGAGAACUGAGGGGGG
rnacentral:rRNA from 1 species